AUGUUGUGUAAUGCGAAAGGAAUAACCGUCAGACAUCUGAUGUUAGAGUUCUGCAUUAAAUCCUUGUUUAAUUAUCAUUUUUGUUCCUUUCAGAAUGUUUUGGGGAGAUCAAGCUCUGUUGUGUAUGCGGUUGCGCUGCUAGCUUCUGGGCAAAGCACCACAAUUAGUUGCACAUUCGCUGGGCAGGUCAUCAUGCAGGGGUUUCUGGACAUGAAGAUGAAGAACUGGGUUAGGAACCUCAUCACCCGGGUCAUCGCCAUUGCUCCAAGCCUUAUAGUCUCCAUUGUGAGCGGUCCGUCAGGCGCUGGCAAGCUAAUCAUCCUUUCCUCGAUGAUUCUUUCGUUUGAGUUGCCAUUCGCUCUCAUCCCUCUCCUCAAGUUCUGCAACAGCAGCAAGAAAGUAGGACCCCUCAAGGAAUCCAUCUAUACGGUGAUCAUUGCGUAG
rnacentral:rRNA from 1 species